GACAGAGGCCUCAAGCGUUAGGCGGAAUCACUGGGCUUAAAGCGUGUGUAGGCGGAUCGUUAAGUGUCUUGUGAAAUCCCACGGCUCACCCGUGGAACGGCUGGGCAUACUGGCGAUCUUGGGCCAACUAGGGGCAACUGGAACGAAGCGGUGGAGCGGUGAAAUGCGUAGAUAAUCGCUUGGAACGCCAAAGGUGAAAACAGGGUUGCUGGGGGUUGU
rnacentral:rRNA from 1 species